GGAUGGCUGGAGGGUUCAAGCAGCCAGAGAGAAGCACUGCGUAGUGGAAACUGUGACUAGUAGGAGAAGUCAUACAGCUGUGCCAGAGAGUCAGAGACUGAGAGCUGCCCAAAAGAACUGGGGACAAAGAUAACACAAGUGUCCUUGGAGACAGAGCUGUUUUUGAGAAGGGCUCCAUCGUCCAGCCUUUCCUUCUCAUAAGGCUCCCAUGUGUGGGGAGAGAUGGCCAGUUUGCAGGAGUGGGAGGGAGGGGUAAGAGAGGUACAGCUGGAGGAGGCUCCACGGAAAGACUGUGGAAAUGUGGAAAGCAGGGAAAUGAAGAGGGACACGUCACUCGCAAGCUGAAAUGCAGAGGGGGUGGUAAGGGGAAGAAAGGAGCAGGGAGGCAGAGAUUUGGAAGCUUCAUCACAGAAGAACUGGCCUCAAGAGCAAAGAGACAGGGAGAAGUCAAGAUCCUACAACAGCCAUCAUGGUGACUCUUCCUCUUUUCCUCCUCUUCAUCUUUUUGCCCUGCAGUAAAUCUCAGGACUUUCUGGACCAGCAUCAGAAAUGGAACUACAGGGAAGGCGCUGACAAGGUUAACAUAGAAGGUGUUUACAGCAUUACUCAAACCCUCGAGAAAUGGGGAAAUGACAUCUUCUGGCAAAUGAAGCAUACCCUGCUGAACAACCCAAAUGCUCUCCUGCCUGAGUUCUCCAGUCUCCGCCCUGUCUCUGCAGCUGUGGACAACCUUGUGAGGGAAGUCCAGUCGAUAAGGAAAAGGCUGGAAGAACUGAAUGAACGCCUCAAUAUCAUCAGCAAAACUGUCCUUCCCCUUCGACUGAAUGCUCUGCAGAGCCAGAGGCGUGGAAAUACUCAGCUGCGAAGACUCCCGACACAUAGAAGAAGGUUAUAUGUUCACAGGAGACCUCAGAGCACUUAAUUCUCUACCAGAAAAAAAGGCGAAAUCUUUUUUUUUUUUUCAUCUGCUUAAGCCUUUCUCAAUGGGACAUUGCUGGAGAGAAAAAAAAGUAAAGCACACACACAAGUCAGCUUUGCUAAGGAGACUGGAACUCCUGCAUUUUGUUGGUGCCUUCCGAACCUAGGUCAGUAGGCGAAACCUGACCCCAUUCUUUAAUGAUGGCUGUUUUCUGUCCCAAGCAAAAAAAAAAGUUGACAAGCUCAGUCUACUUGAGCAUGAAUACCUUUAUUCUAUACAGGCAUUCUUUCUGCUUACCAGAGGAAGGUCUUUCGAUAAAGAUCAGGUGAAUUUCUCUCCCUGCCCUAUUUUUGAAGCACUCCAUCUGAAACAGCUGGUGAAUUUGAACUUCGAAAGUGCUGAACAACUGAUGAAUACAGAAAGAUGGAUUAAUGCUUGUCACUUCCAGCUGAGCAGGGUGAGGGAGAGGAAGUUAUGUUUCAAAAUACCACCUUAACCUAUUGUCUAUGUUCAUAUGUUCAGAGGGUGAGUAGGGCUGCAUAACCUUGGUCUGUAUGUCAUGCUUCAACACUGAAGAUAUAUCAAUUGCCAGGGACCAAAUACGAACAUCUGCCUUCUGCAAAGAGUGUUUUUCUAGCUACCUGGAACUCUGCACUCAGAAUGGUGUUAUUCAGUAGAUAUGUUCAGAAUUUCCAGCCCUCUGAAACACACUGAACUGAUUUUUGCCAAGACCCAUGGAAACCAGGGGAUUUUUUUUCCCCUAAACUAUUUAGAUACCUAAUGGUAAAGAUAGGUGUCUGGAAGGAUUUUCCAAAAUAGCUUAAGAGACUCUUCAGUCCCCAAAAUCAUAGAUAAUAAUUCAAUUGGUGUCUAGUUCACAGAGUAUUUUCUCCACAUGCCAGCACUGACCUCCAGACAUUUCCAAACAUCCUUUAGUGCCAUUAAUAUCUGUAGAAAAUUAACAACCACGCUCUCCAAAGACUUUGGUCCCUCAGGGAUUACCCAGAAUACCCUGCCUUCAGCUUGUCUUUGCCUGUCUUCCUGACAAUAAAGCUGGUGAUAAAAAAAGAGUGCAUGAAUCAAAUUAUGCACUGAAUGGAGGAUAGAGUGGGUUUGCCCUUUCUCUAAAGAUAAAUCCAAUAGAGAUUUCCAUUCAACUGUGUAUAUGAAAUGUGUUGAAACAUAAGAAAGAGAGUCGGAGAGAAAAAGAAACAGGAAAACAUCCAGUCUUUAAGGUCUGGAUGAAGCAAUUUAUGAGAACACAAAUAAAGAAUGGAUUAUGU